rnacentral:rRNA from 1 species
CUACGGGGGCACCAGUCGAGGAACUUUUACAAUGCUCGAAAGAGUGAUAAAAUAAACCAGAGUGUUUCUCCUAGAGAAACUUUUGUCUGCUGUAAAAAAGCAGAUGAAUAAGGACUGGGCAAGACCGGUGCCAGCCGCCGCGGUAAUACCGGCGGUCCAAGUCGCAUCCACAUUUAUUGGGUCUAAAACAUUCGUAGCUUGUUUUGUAAGUCCCUUGUGAAAUCUGACAUCUCAAGUGUCAGGCGUGCAAGAGAUACUGCAUUGCUAGAGACCGGAAGAUGCAAAGAGUAUGAUUGAGGUAGCGGUAAAAUGUGUUAAUCUUAAUUAGACUAACAAUGGCGAAGGCACUUUGCAAGUACGGAUCUGACAGUGAGGAAUGAAGGCUAGGGGCGCAAAAGGGAUUAGAUACCCCAGUAGUC